rnacentral:rRNA from 1 species
UACGUAGGGUCCGAGCGUUGUCCGGAAUUAUUGGGCGUAAAAGAGCUCGUAGGCGGUUUGUCGCGUCUGCUGUGAAAUCCCGAGGCUCAACCUCGGGGCUCUGCGGUGGGGCGGAGACUGGAGUGCGGUAGGGGAGAAUGGAAUUCCUGGUGUAGCGGUGGAAUGCGCAGAUAUCAGGAGGAACACCGAUGGCGAAGGCAGUUCUCUGGGCCGUAACUGACGCUGAGGAGCGAAAGCGUGGGGGAGCGAACAGG